CAGCUGUAUGUGCACAGCAAAUGCCAAAGUGUUAAAAUCCCAGAGUAUUCAUGACCAGAGUAGAUUUUAUACACUUUGGUGUUGAAUAGGCACUAAGUACAUUUUUUGGGGUGUACCAGAAACACUCUUGGGUGUUGUCUCUAAGUUAAUGCUGGUGUAGAGUAAUUUAAGUGUUUAUUUUAGGAUGAUGGACUCCCUGAGUGUCCAACGGUUGAUUGACGGCCGCACGUCGGCUUAGGUUUCGAUUCGUCAUUGGCUCGCUGCGCCUCCUCAUUGGUUGAAUCUAGAGACAUGUGACCGUUUGUCCUCUUCCACACUACGCGGCAAACUGUUUCGGCAGAGACGGUUGACUAGAGAGGAUCGAAUCAAUAUCGCCAAGGGAUUGCUCAGAGUGAGCGAAGACAUUUUUGAACUUCACGGGAAUGUAAACAGGUUGGGAUAGUGACAUGGCCUCACUUCUCCUGCUGGUCUACCUCCUGCCACCACCUCCAAGUGGAAAGAAGGGAGCUGUCAAAAUCAGUAUCCGGGAAGCUGUGGAUCGUGUAGUGAAGUUUCACAGGGUAAUUGUAUCCUGAUAA